rnacentral:lncRNA from 1 species
UCUAUGACAGAAAACCAACCAUGAUGUUUGGGUACCUGGCUCAGAAUGGGACAAAAAAAAAAAAAUCUUUCCACACAUGAUUAAUACUUCAGCUGAACACCAGAAGAGUCAGCCAUGUGCUGGAAGGGGGCCAUCCAUCAGCAAUUUAACAUCUGCAAUCUAGCCACGAAUUUUCCCAGCAGAGAAAGUAUUAAAACCUGAUGGCUUGGAUAAAAGAGAAAACUUCUGGACAUAUAGAGCUAAGAGGUCUAGCUGCCUGCGGUUGAAAACUUGGAAGACAAUAUAACCAUUUACAUCUUGCUGUUUCUGGAAUCCUCAUUGAGUGAAUUUGA